rnacentral:rRNA from 1 species
AACGAACGCUGGCGGCGCGCCUAAUACAUGCAAGUCGAACGAGAAGGUGUAGCAAUACACUUGUACAGUGGCGAACGGGUGAGGAAUGCAUGGGCAACCUACCCUCGAGUGGGGAAUAACCAGCCGAAAGGUUGGCUAAUACCGCGUACGCUUCCGGGUCUCCGGAUCCGGAAGGAAAGUCACACCGUGGGUGUGACGCUCAAGGAUGGGCUCAUGUCCUAUCAGCUUGUUGGGGGGUGAUGGCCUACCAAGGCGACGACGGGUAGCCGGCCUGAGAGGGCGACCGGCCACACUGGGACUGAGACACGGCCCAGACUCCUACGGGAGGCAGCAGUGGGGAAUCUUGCGCAAUGGGCGAAAGCCUGACGCAGCGACGCCGCGUGAGGGAUGACGGCCU